AGGUCGCUGACAAGUCUGCAGUGUAGGAUUGCAGAUCCUGAGGUAACCGGUUCGACUCCGGUUCGGCCCU